GUGCUCACUUCGGCAGCACAUAUACUAAAAUUGGAACAAUAGAGAGAAGAUUAGCAUAGCUCCUGUGCAAGGAUAAUACACAAAUUAGUGAACUAUUCCAUAUGUUU
ensembl:snRNA U6 U6 spliceosomal RNA